UCACAGCCAAAUUUGAUGUCC
rnacentral:miRNA from 1 species